UCUCCCUCUUAGAAAACCAGUCGAAGAAGAAGCGCCCAUCCUCAGCGAGAGUACCCCGGAGGCCCCGACGCUGACCAUCGCCUGAGAAGAAGCGCCCAUCCUCAGCGAGAGUACCCCCGAGGCCCCGACGCUGACCAUCGCCUGAGAAGAAGUGCCCAUCCUCUCCUGAGAGAAGAACCCAUACUCGCUGACCGCCACCUGAGAAGAAGAACCCAGAUGUGCACGAGCGGGGUGCCCCUUCCGUCCUCCCCUGAAGCCCAGAUUCUUCAUAGCGUAUCAGAUUCUUCAUGAAUCAAAAUCUCGAUUCUCAAAUCUUGUGGGAGUAAAUCAUGAACCUGAAAACUUGAGAAUGAUACAAUGAGAAUUGCUUAAGAGCGUGCUAGAGUUCUCUGCUUCUGAAGGAUUGUAGGGACUGAAGCAGGAGGAGUACCAUUAUCAGAAUAAUGACUUUUGAGUUGAAACUUUAAAAGAAAUAAAGAAAAUGUAAAGC